rnacentral:rRNA from 1 species
AUUGAACGCUGGCGGCAUGCUUUACACAUGCAAGUCGAACGGUAACAGGCCGCAAGGUGCUGACGAGUGGCGAACGGGUGAGUAAUGCAUCGGAACGUGCCCAGUCGUGGGGGAUAACGCAGCGAAAGCUGCGCUAAUACCGCAUACGAUCUAUGGAUGAAAGCGGGGGACCGUAAGGCCUCGCGCGAUUGGAGCGGCCGAUGUCAGAUUAGGUAGUUGGUGGGGUAAAGGCUCACCAAGCCGACGAUCUGUAGCUGGUCUGAGAGGACGACCAGCCACACUGGGACUGAGACACGGCCCAGACUCCUACGGGAGGCAGCAGUGGGGAAUUUUGGACAAUGGGCGCAAGCCUGAUCCAGCAAUGCCGCGUGCAGGAAAAAGGCCUUCGGGUUGUAAACUGCUUUUGUACGGAACGAAAAGGCUCUGGUUAAUACCUGGGGCUCAUGACGGUACCGUAAGAAUAAGCACCGGCUAACUACGUGCCAGCAGCCGCGGUAAGAC